AUUGAACGCUGGCGGCAGGCCUAACACAUGCAAGUCGAGCGAGCGGAGGACGGGUGAGUAAUGUCUGGGAAACUGCCUGAUGGAGGGGGAUAACUACUGGAAACGGUAGCUAAUACCGCAUACCAUCAGAUGUGCCCAGAUGUGAUUAGCUAGUAGGUGGGGUAACGGCUCACCUAGGCGACGAUCCCUAGCUGGUCUUAGAGGAUGACCAGCCACACUGGAACUGAGACACGGUCCAGACUCCUACGGGAGGCAGCAGUGGGGAAUAUUGCACAAUGGGCGCAAGCCUGACCCAGCCACGCCGCGUGUGUGAAGAAGGCCUUCGGGUUGUAAAGCUCUUUCGGCGGGGAGGCGUUACCCGCACAAGAAGCACCGGCUAACUCUGUGCCAGACGCCGCGGUAAUAC
rnacentral:rRNA from 1 species